AUUAAAGCACCGCUCUAUUUCAAAUAUUUGAUGAAAUAUAUUAAUGCUAUCCUUAUCCGCGUAUUAAGCGGUAACCACCUAAGUAGUGGAAAGUGGAAAGUGGAAAGUGGAAACUGAAAUACUGGACGAGUACUGUCAGUGGGAGAAAUUGCAGGAUACAGCGUUAUUAUUAUUUUUUUUUUUAAAUUACUCAACAACGAACCGUAAUCUGAUGAGAUCGUAUGCAUAUGGUUCAAUCUACUAAAUACGGGUGACGCAAACUCCAUACUUGAUUGAUUUUCUCUGCAAAUUACUCAAGGUUGAAUUUACAAGUUCUCUGUUCGGUGCAACCCUGGGGAUUCAAACUGAAUUGCGCUACAUACUCGAUUGAUUCAAUCUGCAAUUACUCAAAGUGUAUUCUAACGUCGUCGCCGUUGCAAGACAAGAUCGAUCUGGAUGGACUUUCUUGUACUGAAAUUCUGGGUUAGCUGCAAGUGUAAUUCAGCAAGAAGAAUUUCUAACGUUGUCGGAUGGAUUUGGAUGGACUUUCUUGUACUGAAAUUAUGGGGCUAGCUGAUGCUGCAAGUGUAAUCCAGCUAGAACAAUUUCAAACCCCAGCAGAUGCUAUUGGAAUUAACAAUCAUGUUGCUGCAUCUGAACCUACUUUGGUGUUCCUAGAGUGACAUUGCCUCAUAGGUGUAUCUAUUACAUUUCAAACAAAACAAAUUUGGCUAAAUCUCGACUUCCUAAUUCAGACUCGGGAUGGUCAACCAAUGUGAAAUUUGAUGCAAAGAGGGAGGUUAUAAUCACAGAUAUGAACUCGUAAUUUGUUUUUGCUAAUUGAGGUCUGCAUAUGUGCUCUUAGCAUUGCUUAUGGCUUUUGAUAUGUUCUUAUUCUGUGUGACAACUGACAAGGUGUGAAAUUAUUAAUAGUAUAUCUAUAUCGUGACGUUAUAAUAGGACAGAGAUGAACAUUAGCUAAAAGAUCUUGUGAUCUGAUAAUGAUGUCUUGUUUUAGAAGUGCAACUUUCUUUAGGGUAAAGAACCGAUCAUCUCAACUUUGCAAUUUUCUGCAGCCCAUCUUCUCAUCUCUUUACCCUCCUCUAAUUCCAUUAAACUUCUCACUGUACUUUCUAUUGUAGUUUAUGUAACCAGCUCAAUUUAUACCAGUUCUAAGAACUUGUGUUACCAAAAUAGUGUUAUGUGGCUGGUCAGAAUGCAUUGGCCAUGCUGAUAUUGGCUCUCCCAUGUUGAUGCUCUCCAUGCACGAGUUCCACCCACAGUGACUCGUGAACCCUCCCGUUGAUGGGUGUGCUAGCUUUAUUGGAUAAGAAAACUUUGUUGGAAAAGACUACUCUAAUUUUUGUUUGUUUUUGUGCUAGCUUGUGCUUUUAACUAUUGUUUCGAUUCUUUCUAACCAGUAUAGAGCCCGUCUGUGGGACUGGGUAUUGAUAUGUUGCCGGGACUCCCUCAGGGCCUCAAGAUAGAUGUUUUUCAAUGUAACUGCUAGCAAGUUGAAGGAUGAAGUUAAUAAUCAAGGUUAUUCUUAUCAUGUCAUAUUGAUAACACCCCUCAUGAAAAGGGUUCAAGAUGACGGUGAAGGAAAAGAAGCUAAGGAUCCAUCAAAUUAGUCCAACUCAUAAAGCUAUUAAUGAUUUGAAAAGGCCUUGUAAAAUAUGUAUUUCUUUUGUUAUUUUUUUUUUGUAAGGUUUGAAUAAGUUGAUAGUAGACAUUAUCUAAUUGACUUAUUUUCUUUGUGAUGAAACAAAAUAUUUUAGUGUGUAUUUAAUCAUUAACAUUAUUAUGUACUA